UACUGGAGUAAAAAGUUGGAUAUUUUUCCCCAGACAUGUAGUGAAGUUUAAGAAGACCUACAAAGUAGCAAAAAGUAGAAUACUCAAGUAAAGUAGCCCUAGCUGGGUGGAAGUAACGAAUAGGACUUCAUUAUAUUUUCAUUAAGCCUACUGUAACAUAGUGUUUUUGUAGGCUAGACUACAUGUAGACCACUUUUUAUGUUUUGGAGUUAUUUGUAAAAUAAAUAAAUACUAAUGAUAUACAAAUAAUACAACCACGUAUAUUGUACAGCUGAGCACGCGAAGUUAAACAAAUCAAACACACCCACUUGUUUGCGUCACAGGUGCAUGCUGUGUCUUAUGGCUGUGUCUAGCUAACAUGGUAAACGCUAGCAUGCUCAUGGUAGCAUGCUCUCUGGGACACAGAGUGGACUGGUUAUACUGGUAGUAGAUAGGCUGAGUGGUUAUAUUAUGCUCUGAGAAUAUACGAGCAAAGAGUUGAAGCUGGAGUACAUUGAAGAGGACAUGUCGGUGCACAAAACUCAAGGAAUGUAGUUCAGACAGUGUGUCGGCUCUCCUGUCUUCAAGAAUGCUCUCAGUAUGUGCAUCAUAUCCUUUCAUCAGCCCGGUGUGUUUUCCUCUCGGUCUGCCUCUGUCUGGGCUGGAUACAGCUCAGCAUACGUAUGGGACUUGGGAUGACAUCACAGCUACUCACUUGAGAGUUGUCCCCUCGUUCUCAAAUCAAAACAGGCUGCGAAAACAAGUUCCUACCUGAGACUAUUUUGCAGAGCCAGCA